rnacentral:rRNA from 1 species
GACGAACGCUGGCGGCGUGCCUAGUACAUGCAAGUCGAACGCACUCUCGUUUAGAUUGAAGGAGUUUGCUCCUGAUUGAUAAACAUUUGAGUGAGUAGCGGACGGGUGAGUAACACGUGGGUAACCUGCCCUAAAGUGGGGGAUAACAUUUGGAAACAGAUGCUAAUACCGCAUAAAACCUAACACCGCAUGGUGUAGGGUUGAAAGAUGGUUUCGGCUAUCACUUUAGGAUGGACCCGCGGUGCAUUAGUUAGUUGGUGAGGUAAAGGCUCACCAAGACCGUGAUGCAUAGCCGACCUGAGAGGGUAAUCGGCCACACUGGGACUGAGACACGGCCCAGACUCCUACGGGAGGCAGCAGUAGGGAAUCUUCCACAAUGGACGAAAGUCUGAUGGAGCAACGCCGCGUGAGUGAAGAAGGUUUUCGGAUCGUAAAACUCUGUUGUUGGAGAAGAAUGUAUCUGAUAGUAACUGAUCAGGUAGUGACGGUAUCCAACCAGAAAGCCACGGCUAACUACGUG